rnacentral:rRNA from 1 species
GCCUGUGACAAAUGUUUAACGGCCGCGGUAUUUUGACCGUGCAAAGGUAGCGCAAUCACUUGUCUUUUAAAUGAAGACCUGUAUGAAUGGCAUGACGAGGGCUUAACUGUCUCCUUUUUCCAGUCAAUGAAAUUGAUCUUCCCGUGCAGAAGCGGGAAUAUAACCAUAAGACGAGAAGACCCUAUGGAGCUUUAGACAAAGACAGUUCUUGUUAAGCACUUCAAAAUAAAGAAAUAAACNUAAAAGAACCCUGCCCUGNCUGUCUUUGGUUGGGGCGACCACGGGGAGAUAAAUAACCCCCACGCGGACUGAGAAUACAAUUCUCACAACCAAGAGUUACAACUCUAAUCAACAGAAAUUCUGACCUUNAAGAUCCGGCAGUGCCGAUCAACGGACCGAGUUACCCUAGGGAUAACAGCGCAAUCCCCUUUUAGAGUCCAUAUCGACAAGGGGGUUUACGACCUCGAUGUUGGAUCAGGACAUCCUAAUGGUGCAGCAGCUAUUAAGGG